GCGAAAAUUUGGGAAAAUUUGGUGAAAAUCCAUGAAAAUUUGAGGAAAACUGGUGAAAAAUUGAGAGUUUGGGGGCACCUGGGGGCAGAAAAAUGGGGAAAAUCCGUGAAAAUUUGAGGGAAAUUGGUGAAAAUUGGAGAGUUUGGGGGCACCUGAGCUACACCUGGGGGCACCAAAAUGGGAAAAACAGCGAAAAUUUGGGGAAAAUCGGUGAAAAUUUGAGGGAAAUUUGUGAAAAUUUGAGGGAAAUUGGUUAAAAUUGGAGAGUUUGGGUGUGCAGUGGGUGUGGCCCAGGUAUGCAAAUGAUCCCCAGGUGUGAAUGGGCGUGGCCUAAGGAUGUAAAUUACCCCAGGUGUGAAUGGGCCUGGUCCAGGUAUGCAAAUGAUCCCGACAUGUGCAGUGGGAGUGGCCCAGGUGUGAAUGGGCGUGGCCCAGGUAUGUAAAUGACACCCAGGUCUGCUGGGGGCGUGGCCUAAGUAUGCAAAUUAUCUCCAGUUGUGAAUGGGCGUGGCCUAGGUACGUAAAUGACGCCCAGGUGUGAAUGGGCGUGGCCUAAGGAAGUAAAUGACCCCCAGGUGUGCAAUGGGCGUGGUCCAGGUGUGAAUGGGCGUGGUCCAGAUACGUAAAUAACCCCAGGUGUGCAAUGGGCGUGGCCUAUGUAUGUAAAUGACCCCCAGGUGUACAGUGGGUGUGGUCUAGGUAUGCAAAUGAGCUGCACCUGUGAAUGGGCGUGGCCCAGGUAUGCAAAUGAUCCCUAGGUGCAUGGUGGGCAUGGUUCAGGUGUGAAUGGGCGUGGCCUAGUUAUGUAAAUGACCCCCAGGUGUGCAAUGGGUGUGGACCAGGUAUGCAAAUGAUCCCCAGGUGUGAAUGGGCGUGACCAAAGUAUGCAAAUGACCCCCAGGUGUGCAGUGGGCGUGGCCCAGGUGUGAAUGGGCGUGGCCUAGGCAUGUAAAUGCGUAAAUGACACCCAGGUGUUCGGUGGGCGUGGCCCAGGUAUGUAAAUGAGCACAUGAGUCCCAGGUGUGAAUGGGCGUGGCCUAAGUAUGCAAAUGAUCCCCAGGUGUGAAUGGGCGUGGUCCAGGUAUGUAAAUGCCCCAGGUGUGAAUGGGCGUGCUCCAGGUAUGUAAAUGAGUCCCGGAUGUGAAUGGGCGUGGCCUAAGUAUGUAAAUCACCCCCAGGUCUACAAUGGGCGUGGCCCAUUUAUGCAAAUGACCCCCAGGUGUGCAAUGGGUGUGGCCCUGGUAUGUAAAUAACCCCCAUGUCUGCAAUGGGCGUGGCCUAAGUAUGUAAACGACCCCCAGGUGGUCAGUGGGCGUGGCCCAGUUGUGAAUGGGCGUGGCCUAAGUAUGUAAACGACCCCCAGGUGUGCAGUGGGCGUGGUCCGGAUAUGCAAAUGUGCCCCUUCCCCGAGCAAUAAACGCACCUGGACACCCCCGAA